GUGAGUGCCAUGGUACAUACCAUCCAAAUGCCGUUUAGGCUUCAUGAUCACAGACAUUGCUCAGUUUAAUUUAUAUGUAGAGAUUGUUGACUUUGAAAAAAGAGAGCUGAUGAUUUUGUUUGACUAAAUCAUGCAGUUUAGAAAAAUUUCCAAGAGAGUCAGUUCUCCAUUGUACUUUUAAUUUAGUCUAAUGCUAUCUACCUUAAUUCGCAUUUGUUCUUUCCAUGUGGUUCAGUUAAAAAUAAAACAAAACUUUUAUCUGAGACGAUAUCUUUGAUGUAAGGUCUUAAUGAUUCCCUGAAAGAAAAAAACAAAAAAAAUCCUCAACCACAGCCCAUUAAACAUUUAAAUCAAAACAUUUAUAGACCAAAAAAGAAAAUGAAGUCAUAUUCUAUUCAAUGGAUUGCACAGGUCAGAUUAGGAGCAAGUCCUAUUUUAUCUAAUGUGAAUAACCGCAGAGUCACCUGUAAGCAAAAGGUUCCUGUUGUUUUAAGAUUAGUGAUCUAUCAUGAUGCUUGAUAGAAUAAUUCUUAGAGAAUGAUUCUUCCAAACUGAAGUUCUGAGAGAACAAAGGAAUUUUAUUUUACAAAGAAUAUUUCAAAAAUGUUAAUUUUACCAAAAUAGCUAUAGAUAUGCCUUUUAUUUCCUUUAUUUCCAAAGAACCUAUAGUAGGAUAUAGGCACCAAUUGGAUAGAAGUAAAAUAGUGGAAAAAUUAGAAACAGGUUUACAAGGAAACCCCCCCAAGACAGUUGAUACGCUGCUUCUUCAAAUGACUUGCAUAAUAUAAUUCAGGUUUCUAGUGUGUCUGAAGUCUGCAGUAAACAUCAGAUGUGCAGGACUCAGGAGCCAGUGAAAGUGAAUCCAGCUCAAAGGAAAGAGGAGAGGCACACUGGAGCCCAUUUAUGGACUCACGGGACUUAAGGCAAUAAGAAACUUCAGAAAUCAGAAAGUCUGACUACCAGUAGCAACAUCCCUUGGCUGGAUGGCUACAGGCUUCUGAAAGAGAGUCUUUGCCAUAUUUUCUUCCGUUUCAAGCCAUUAGAAACUCUGUAAAAACAUUAGGAUGACAGCACCACAAUGAAGUUAGGCUACAGCUUUGUGAUAUGCUCUCUGGUCUAGAAGACUUCUGAAGACCCUCUGUCCCUAGAAACAGAGUUCUUACCGUCGUCCAAUCAAAUUUUCCUGAGGAGUGAAAAGGAACAGUGAAUGCCUAUUACACUCUGGGUGCUGUUAGAUGUGUUAUCUCAUCUAAUCCCCACAACAACCUUGUGAAGGAUUAUUAUCUCCAGUUUAUAGAUGAGGAACCUCAGUCUCAGAGACAUUAAUUAACCUGACCAAGUUUACACAGCUAGUUAAAUUAGUGGCAGAGUCUCAAUUUGAAUAAAGUCUUGCUCCUUACAAAACAUCAUGUGACCUCCCAGGAAACCUUGUUUAUUUGGUAGAUAUUUUUUAUCAUAUACUUAAGCUACUUUUAAAAAGAAGAUACACCUGAAAUGCAAAUACUUAUUAAACAUAUAAGAAGUUGUUGACCUUGGCACAUAUCUCAUGACCCUACUUUGCUCCUUGUGGCAAUGAAUGAAAGAGAACCUCCGUGAACACGCCAGCAAUUCCUGGGGAGUGGGUCUCAGACUUUGCAUUUCCCAGAUAUCUCCAUGGACUUAUCAGGUUCAGUUCAUUCUCUGUGGAUUCAGGGGAGAGCAGAAGGACCAGCCACAGGGAACACUUGCCCUUGCUGAAGCCUAAGACAGAGACUAUGGCUGCUCUGACUUGGUGCAAAUACUAGGCCAGUGGUCACCAGCAGGUUCCCCAGGAGAGACACAUCUACUCCAUAACUACUCAGUGUUAUUGAUAAAAAGCACAUCUAAAAGGAAAGGGCAAGGCAGUCAGCCCUGGUGGCCUCGUGGUUAAGUUCAGUGAGCUCCACUUUGGCAGCUUGGGUUCAGUUCCCAGGUGCAACCUACAUGGCUCUGUUAGCAGCCAUGCUGUGCUGGCGGCCCACAUACUAAAAAAUAGAGGAAGAUUGGCAUAGAUGUUAGCUCAGGGCAAAUCUUCCUCAGCAAAAAAGAAAAGGGAAAGGAAAAGGCAACCAUAAGUGAUUAUUAAAAAUACACCAGGAAAACACACACAGACAAAACAUAGCUACAUUAUUAAUAUUAGACUAAACAAAUAUUCAAGGAGAAAGAGGGUAUUAUGAAAUCACAAAAGGUAUCAUUCACAAAGAAGAUACAAUGUUUUUGUGCCAAGCUACUCAAUUACAAUAUUGAAAAUAAAGACAACUUUAGAAAUAUAAUAUAUUUUAUAUAUCUGAUAAACACAGAGAAAUAUGUAUUAUACAAAGAAUUUAUAUUCCUCCAAUUGUGAUAUUUGAUUGUGUACUUGCCAGAAAUAAACCUAAUACAUUAUAGAAAACAGAAACUUUUCCAGGACGUAUUUUCUGAUUAUAAUUAAAUAAAAUUAGAAAUCAAUAAUAAAAAGAAAGGUAAAAACUUAACUACUGGAAAUUAAAAAAACACUCUAGUUCUAAACCAAAGUAAAAGCAAACUAUUCAGAAAGUAAUAAAAGACCACUUCAUAUUAAAACAGAUGAAAUAUAGCUAAGGCUAAAUUCAGAUUCAAAUUUAUUCCUUCAAUACUUUUAUAAUUAAAGACAAAUUAAAUGAUUUAACCUUAAACAUUAACUAAAGAAUAUCAAAAUAAACUAAUAGAAAGCAGGAGACAUGAAUUAAUAAAGACAAAAUAUUAAAAUAAUGAAAGAAAUAGAAACUAACAAAAAAGGUGGAAAAAAUUAAAAAUUGAUAAAACCCAGUAAAUCUCAUUAAAAAGAAGACAAAACAAGAACAUAUCAGAUUAGCAAUGAGAAAGAUAUCAUAGAUACUGAAUAGAUUAAAAGAACUAUAAGAGAAUGUUAUGUGGGACUAUAUGAUAAUCACUUUGAAAAUCUGGAAGACCUAUAUGAUUUUCUAUAAAAAAAAUAAAGUGCCAAAAUCAUCCAAGAAAAGGUGACAAAAAACCUGAACAGACUCAUAACUAUAUAUUAGAUUGGAAAGAUAAUUAAAGAUCUCCCAUAAGAAAAAAAGAUAUGCCACAGAAGCAUGCACCAGGGCCAGAUAGUUUGUAAUUGGGUUCUACUUAACCCUUAAAAACAGGUAAUUCCUAUAUUGUUUGUGUUAUUCCAAGACAUAGAAAAAGUUAGUACACUCUCCAAUUCACUUUAGAGAACAUAACUGUAAUCUUAAAACCUGAUAUGUACAGUGCCAACCAUAGAUAUAUUUAUUGAAAAAUGAACUUAAACCUAUAAAAAGAUCAAUGGGAACUAUAAUUUGCAACAAACAUGUAAGAAUAAUAUCAAGAUGUCCAUGAUCUAACUGCUCUCUUACUGCUGAGACAAGUUAGGUGGAAGCACUCCACAGCGUCUGAGUAGGAAAUCCUUGGAUCAGGCCAGGAGACCUUACCUGGGUGAAUACUAUUGAGUGUUGCUAAGAUGAAAUGGAGAAGCCAAAUUUUGUUCAGAAGAUGGCAGUUAUCACUAGGAAAGUUCAAAGGCUUCCUGACCUAUUGGUCUUAUCUUAGCUAAAACUUAUUGAAAACUGAGUAUGUGUCAGGUAUUGGGCUCGGCCCUUUUGCGUUAUAUUCUCAUUUAAUCCCCACAAUAUCGCCAUAAGGUAGAUACUAUUAUUAUCCCCAUUUUAAAAAUGAGGAAACAGACUUUCUAGUGUCAUACAGCAAGGAGUGGUGAAGCCAGGAUUGAAUCUGGAUGAGCAUCCAGUCCUGAAUCACUCUGUGUAUACUCUCCUUAAACUCACCCUGCUGGCUUUAUCACUCCCACCAUCUUGUAUAUGUUAUUCCUCGAACACUUAAGCAAAAUAAUAAUACUGGUGAUAAUAGUAAUAAAAUAACGGCUGCCAUCUACGAGGAAGGAAUAUGUUCCAGGCACUGUGUUAGCAUGUUGUAUGCAUCGUCUCAUUAAGUCCUUCUAACAACCCCAUGAGGUAGUUAUUAUAAGUUCAUCAUUCAACAAAACAUGAUGGACUAUGUGUUCCAAAGACACAGUGGAAGGAUUUGGGAGCGCAGUGGCUGGUGAAAGAUGGGUUCAAAUCAGUGUUCUGAAAGAAAAUGUCUUGGUAGGCAGCAACAUAUUUUAUCAGCCUAAAAUAUUUCCUAAUGAAAAUAAAAAAAGAAAAGCCUCACUUUCUAAGAUUACAUUUUUAAAUAUAAUUUUACUACCCUUAAAAGGUCUUUAAUCAAGCUAACCGAAGCUGUUGAAAAGAGUUGGUGGAGUAGCAUUAAAAAGAUUUCACAUGUAGCUGGGAAGAUAGAUGAAUUAAUUAAUCACGAAAGAAAACUCUGCUUAGAAAAAAGAGAGACAUCCAUCUUAUCUGACCUCAGCAGUCACAUCCUCACACAAUUUCAGUAUCUUCAGUUAAAGUUAGAAGCAACUAAGUGACCAAUUUGGGAGAAGACAAACACUACAUAUUAACUACUCGAUUCUCCACAUAUGUAAUUUCCUGUCUCCUAUGAGUCUGAUAAAUUGGCCCAAGAUAAGAAAUCCCUAAAUAAAUACUGCUUGAUCCAAGACAAUGUUACCAUAUCUAAACUGUAGCAUUAUUUUUGGUAAAUUUGGGGGAAAAGCACAAAGGUUUUAACUCCACACAGCAAAUAAGAGAAAUACAAUUCUUUAAGAAUGGUCAACUUACAUGGCUUAUUGAUAUUUAGUUUGAAUGAAGAAAUCUAUCCUUACAACUAAACAGGAGCCUCUUUUAAAAUCUAUGUCAAGAUAGAGAGUUAUAAAAGAGCUUUUGAUUUCAAUAGUGAAAAUUUGAAUAUGACUUGUAUAUUAAAUUUCUUGAUCGUGACAAUGCUAUUACAGUUAUGUAGGAGAAUGCUUUUGUUCUUAGAGACACAGACUGAAGUAUUUUGGGGUGAAAGGCCAUAAUAUCUACUUCUUUCAAGUGGUUCAAAGACAACAACAAAAGGUAAGAAUAUAGCAAAAUAUUUAAAAGUGGCAACUGUAUGCAAAGCGUGUAUGGGUUCCAUUGUACUAAUUUUUGAACUUUUCUGAAGGAUUAUAAUUUUUCAAAAUAAAAAUUUAAGAGAAGAAAUGUGAUUACAGAAAAUUACCUGCCUUUAUAUCUUGUAUCUGAGGAGCUGACACACAAGUCAUUGCAGUGCUUUCAUGUUCCUACGUUGCCAUCUAAUAUUUAUCCUAAGGUGAAGAUAAUCCCUAACAUUAAUCAAGACCCACCAAUGUACCAGGAAGAGACUGUUAUAGAUAGAUACGAUGGUCCAAUAUGGAAAACUCAGACAAAUGCAAUUUCUUUUAAGCUGUAGUUCAAAAGUACUUAGAAAAUACCACAGACCUUGGUCUAUUAUGUGACUUGGAGAGCUACAUGGAACAUUUUUGGAGUGGCUGCAUGAAUCUGAUGACACAUGGAUUCUUGACUUUCAUCAUCUUUCCAGGCAACAUGUGAAAUCCCCUGGCCUGGAGAGGAGCGGUCCUACUCUAAGCAUGUGGGGCUCCCUCUUGACCCCUAUCGAUUGAGGCCAGGAAGCCUGAGGAGGGAUUAAAAACUCCAAAAUUCUUGUGUGGGGUGGGGAGGAGAAUUUUCCACCCGUAGAGACAGUUGGAGGCAUCAAGAUUUUUUAAAAUUCCCCAAGCAAUUCUCAUAUGGAGCCAAUUUGAGAACCACUGUGCUAGAGACUUGUUUCUCACUGUGGUUUGUGGAGCAGCAGUAUCAGCAUCACCUGAAACCUUGUUAGAUAUCGAGAAUCUCAGGCCCCAGCCCAGACGCACUGAUUCAGAAUCUGCUUUUUAAGAAGAUCCCUGGGUGAUUGAAAUGCACAUGAAAGUUUGAGUACAACAAUGACUGCAGUGAUCCAACAGCAUGUAAAUUGAAAAUGAACUUUAAUGAAAAAACGUUUUUCUGAAACUACUCUCCAGAGAAAAGGCAAUGAAAGCCUGCACCUGUGCUUUCCUACAAUCAGUUGACAGAGGAAGAGAAGACCUGGGCGUGGUUUACAGAUGGUUCUGCACAAUAUGCAGGCACCACCCGACAGUGGACAGUGGCGGCACUGCAGCCCCUUUCUGGGACAUCUCUGAAGGACAGUGGUGAAGAGAAAUCCCCGUAGUGGGCAGAACUUUAAGCAGUGUACCUGGUUGUUCACUUUGCUUGGAAGGAGAAGUGGACAGAUGUGCAAUUCAUGGGAUGUGGCCAAUGGUUUGCUGGAUGGGUAGGAAUUUAGAAGGAACAUGAUUGGAAAACUGGCAACAAGGAAAUUUGGGGAAGAGGUAUGUGGAUAAACCUCUCUGAAUGGGUAAAAUAUGUUAAGAUAUUUGUGUUCUAUGAGACUACUCAUCAAAGGGUGACCUCAGCAGAGGAGGAUUUUAAUCAUCAAGUGGAUAGGAUGACCCACUCUAUAGAUACCAAUCAGUCUCCCCCUAGCUACCCAUGUCAUUGCCCAGUGGGCUCUUGAACAAAGUGGCCGUGGUGGCACGGUUGGAGGUUAUGCAUAGGUUCAGCAUCAUGGACUUCCACUCACCAAGGCCAACAUGGCUAUGGCCAAUGCUGAGUACCCAAUCUGCCAGCAGCAGAGACUGAAACUGAGUACCCAAUAUGGCACCAUCUCCUGGUGUGAUCAGCCAACUACCUGAUGGCAGGCUGAUUACAUUGUAUGGCAAUCAUUAUGGAAGGGACAUUGUUAUCUUCUUACUGGUAUAGAUAUUUCCUCUAGAUAUGAAUUUGCCUUUCCUGCACACAAUACUUCUGCCAAGUCCAUGAAUUUAGAGAAUGCCUUAUCUACCAGCAUGGUACUGUGCACAGCAUUGCUUCUGAUGAAGUAACUCACUUCACAUCGAAAGCAGUGAGGCAAUGGACCCAUGCUCACGGAAUUCACUGGUCUUACCAUGUUCCCCACCAUCCUAAAGCAGGUGGCUUGGUAGAAUGGUGAACUUGCCUUUUGAAGACUCAAUUAUAGCACCAUCUAGGUGGCAACAUUGCAGGGCUAGGGGGAGGUUCUCCAGAAGGUGGUAUAUGCUCUGAAUCAGCAUCGAACAAAUGGUGCUGUUUCUCCCAUAUCUAGGAUUGAAGGGUCCAGGAUUCAAGGGGUGGAAAUGGGAGUGACACCACUCACUAUUAACCCUAGUGACGCACUAACAAAAUCUUCCUAUUCCUUUCCUAUUCCUAUCCUAUUCCUAUUCCUAUCUUAUGCUCUACUGGUCUAGAGGUCUGAGUUCCAAGGGGAGGAAUGAUUUCACUGAACUGGAAGUUAAAACUGCUGCCCAACCAUGGUGGACUCCUUGUGUCUCUGAAAUAACAGGCAAAGAGGGGAGUUACUGUGCUGGCUGGAGUGACUGAUCCUGACUACAAGGGGAAAUUGCACUGCUACUCCACAAUGGAGAGUCAAAAUAACCACAGACAUCUCAUUGUUUCACUGUCCAUUGCCACCUAGACAGAGGGGUUGAGAAAGAUGCUUUGUGACAUCCCCACCGCUGUGCUGCUUCUUGCAGUGCAGUGCGGCUGAAGACAACUGCAGCGGACACCUUAGAGCCAGAGAGAAAAGCCAAGUGGAGCAGAUGUCAGCAUCAUCCCACCAGCCUGGGUCUCUAGCUGAGUUUGUGGAGCACAGCCCGAUUACCCAUCUUGAGCUGUGAUAUUCCUGCUCUUGCAGUUGGAAAAGGCCGGGACAGAGAAAGAGGAUUCUGCUAGGGGCAAGACGAAGAGCAGGGUCAGCAAACAUUGCUGCCCAGAGAGAGGCAAGAUGUGGUCAUAAGAAAAAGGGCACAUUCAUAGAACACAUAUUCACAAAGAAUAUAUUCUCAAGGAAAACGACCUUUUUAUAAAUACAUUCUUCUUAUAAAUAAGAAGCUACCCCCAGCUUCCUCCUUUGUUCCCCACACAUUUUGCCCCAUUUCUUCUCUUCUCUGUAGUCUCCUUCCUCGCUGGGAGGGCUGCGCUGUGUGCUUACCCUGCUCCCUGUCUCUUCCCAAGUAGUCAUUCAUCCCUGCUCCCUCCAGCGCCCUAGCAAGGAGCUGGGGCAGAGACAAACCCGAUGCUCCUUCGAAUGCUAUUAGGGAGACAAAAUGAAAACUAGCCCAUUAGAACUAAGUAGUGACAAGAAAUAGUAAAUUCAUAGAAGCGGUUAUGCAGUGAAUCAGACUCAUUUCCUCCGGGCCCCUGCUCACAUGACUACUUUUCUACAAAGCCUUCUCUGACUCUCCUUGGCAGGUCCCAUUACACCUUGUUCACACCUCUAUUACAUUGCUUAGAAGUGACAUGAAAAUAGAAGCAUUCUAUCUUAGUUACUUGACUUCAUAAGUAGUCCAAUUUCUAGACUGUUUAUCCCUUUAACAACUACUUAAUAAACAAAAAUGUCUUCGUUAAACAGACAUUUGUGGGGAGGGGGGCAAAAUGGGUGAAGGGGGUGAAAAGGUACAAACUCCAGCUAUCGAAUAAAUGUCAUGGGGAUGUAAUGUACAGCAUGGUGACUAUAGUUAGUAAUACUGUAUUGCAUUUUGGAAGCUGCUAAGAAAGAAAGUAGAUCUUAAAAGUUCUCAUCACAAUAAAAAACAUUUUGUAACGAUGUAUGGUGAUGAAUGCUAACCAGACUUAUUGCGGUGAUCAUUUUGCAGUAUAUAAAAAUACCAAAUCACCAUGUUGUACACCUGAAACUAAUAUAAUGUUAUACGUCAAUUAUACCUCAAUAAAAAAAUUUCUAAAUAAAACACUGACAUUUACUGUGAGCUGACUAUGUGCUAGAGAG
rnacentral:lncRNA from 1 species